AGGCUUAACACAUGCAAGUCGAGGGGCAGCAUGGUUUUAGCUUGCUAAGGCCGAUGGCGACCGGCGCACGGGUGAGUAACACGUAUCCAACCUGCCGUCUACUCUUGGACAGCCUUCUGAAAGGAAGAUUAAUACAAGAUGGCAUCAUGAGUCCGCAUGUUCACAUGAUUAAAGGUAUUCCGGUAGACGAUGGGGAUGCGUUCCAUUAGAUAGUAGGCGGGGUAACGGCCCACCUAGUCUUCGAUGGAUAGGGGUUCUGAGAGGAAGAUCCCCCACAUUGGAACUGAGACACGGUCCAAACUCCUACGGGAGGCAGCAGUGAGGAAUAUUGGUCAAUGGGCGAGAGCCUGAACCAGCCAAGUAGCGUGAAGGAUGACUGCCCUAUGGGUUGUAAACUUCUUUUAUAAAGGAAUAAAGCCGGGUAUGGAUACCCGUUUGCAUGUACUUUAUGAAUAAGGAUCGGCUAACUCCGUGCCAGCAGCCGCGGUAAUACGGAGGAUCCGAGCGUUAUCCGGAUUUAUUGGGUUUAAAGGGAGCGUAGAUGGAUGUUUAAGUCAGUUGUGAAAGUUUGCGGCUCAACCGUAAAAUUGCAGUUGAUACUGGAUAUCUUGAGUGCAGUUGAGGCAGGCGGAAUUCGUGGUGUAGCGGUGAAAUGCUUAGAUAUCACGAAGAACUCCGAUUGCGAAGGCAGCCUGCUAAGCUGCAACUGACAUUGAGGCUCGAAAGUGUGGGUAUCAAACAGGAUUAGAUACCCUGGUAGUCCACACGGUAAACGAUGAAUACUCGCUGUUUGCGAUAUACGGCAAGCGGCCAAGCGAAAGCGUUAAGUAUUCCACCUGGGGAGUACGCCGGCAACGGUGAAACUCAAAGGAAUUGACGGGGGCCCGCACAAGCGGAGGAACAUGUGGUUUAAUUCGAUGAUACGCGAGGAACCUUACCCGGGCUUAAAUUGCAGAUGAAUUACGGUGAAAGCCGUAAGCCGCAAGGCAUCUGUGAAGGUGCUGCAUGGUUGUCGUCAGCUCGUGCCGUGAGGUGUCGGCUUAAGUGCCAUAACGAGCGCAACCCUUGUUGUCAGUUACUAACAGGUUCCGCUGAGGACUCUGACAAGACUGCCAUCGUAAGAUGUGAGGAAGGUGGGGAUGACGUCAAAUCAGCACGGCCCUUACGUCCGGGGCUACACACGUGUUACAAUGGGGGGUACAGAGGGCCGCUACCACGCGAGUGGAUGCCAAUCCCAAAAACCUCUCUCAGUUCGGACUGGAGUCUGCAACCCGACUCCACGAAGCUGGAUUCGCUAGUAAUCGCGCAUCAGCCACGGCGCGGUGAAUACGUUCCCGGGCCUUGUACACACCGCCCGUCAAGCCAUGGGAGCCGGGGGUACCUGAAGUGCGUAAAAGGGAGGAGCGCCCUAGGGUAAAACUGGUGA
rnacentral:rRNA from 1 species